rnacentral:rRNA from 1 species
GAUGAACGCUGGCGGCGUGCCUAAUACAUGCAAGUCGAGCGAACGGACGAGAAGCUUGCUUCUCUGAUGUUAGCGGCGGACGGGUGAGUAACACGUGGAUAACCUACCUAUAAGACUGGGAUAACUUCGGGAAACCGGAGCUAAUACCGGAUAAUAUUUUGAACCGCAUGGUUCAAAAGUGAAAGACGGUCUUGCUGUCACUUAUAGAUGGAUCCGCGCUGCAUUAGCUAGUUGGUAAGGUAACGGCUUACCAAGGCAACGAUGCAUAGCCGACCUGAGAGGGUGAUCGGCCACACUGGAACUGAGACACGGUCCAGACUCCUACGGGAGGCAGCAGUAGGGAAUCUUCCGCAAUGGGCGAAAGCCUGACGGAGCAACGCCGCGUGAGUGAUGAAGGUCUUCGGAUCGUAAAACUCUGUUAUUAGGGAAGAACAUAUGUGUAAGUAACUGUGCGCAUCUUGACGGUACCUAAUCAGAAAGCCACGGCUAACUACGUGCCAGCAGCCGCGGUAAUACGUAGGUGGCAAGCGUUAUCCGGAAUUAUUGGGCGUAAAGCGCGCGUAGGCGGUUUUUUAAGUCUGAUGUGAAAGCCCACGGCUCAACCGUGGAGGGUCAUUGGAAACUGGAAAACUUGAGUGCAGAAGAGGAAAGUGGAAUUCCAUGUGUAGCGGUGAAAUGCGCAGAGAUAUGGAGGAACACCAGUGGCGAAGGCGACUUUCUGGUCUGUAACUGACGCUGAUGUGCGAAAGCGUGGGGAUCAAACAGGAUUAGAUACCCUGGUAGUCCACGCCGUAAACGAUGAGUGCUAAGUGUUAGGGGGUUUCCGCCCCUUAGUGCUGCAGCUAACGCAUUAAGCACUCCGCCUGGGGAGUACGACCGCAAGGUUGAAACUCAAAGGAAUUGACGGGGACCCGCACAAGCGGUGGAGCAUGUGGUUUAAUUCGAAGCAACGCGAAGAACCUUACCAAAUCUUGACAUCCUUUGACAACUCUAGAGAUAGAGCCUUCCCCUUCGGGGGGCAAAGUGACAGGUGGUGCAUGGUUGUCGUCAGCUCGUGUCGUGAGAUGUUGGGUUAAGUCCCGCAACGAGCGCAACCCUUAAGCUUAGUUGCCAUCAUUAAGUUGGGCACUCUAAGUUGACUGCCGGUGACAAACCGGAGGAAGGUGGGGAUGACGUCAAAUCAUCAUGCCCCUUAUGAUUUGGGCUACACACGUGCUACAAUGGACAAUACAAAGGGCAGCGAAACCGCGAGGUCAAGCAAAUCCCAUAAAGUUGUUCUCAGUUCGGAUUGUAGUCUGCAACUCGACUACAUGAAGCUGGAAUCGCUAGUAAUCGUAGAUCAGCAUGCUACGGUGAAUACGUUCCCGGGUCU